UGGCUCAGGAUGAACGCUAGCUACAGGCUUAACACAUGCAAGUCGAGGGGAAACGGCAUUGAGUGCUUGCACUCUUUGGACGUCGACCGGCGCACGGGUGAGUAACGCGUAUCCAACCUUCCCAUUACUGUGGGAUAACCUGCCGAAAGGCAGACUAAUACCGCAUAGUCUUCGUUGAUGGCAUCAGAUAUGAAGUAAAGAUUUAUCGGUAAUGGAUGGGCAUGCGUCCCAUUAGCUAGUUGGUGAGGUAACGGCUCACCAAGGCGACGAUGGGUAGGGGAACUGAGAGGUUGAACCCCCACACUGGUACUGAGACACGGACCAGACUCCUACGGGAGGCAGCAGUGAGGAAUAUUGGUCAAUGGGCGAGAGCCUGAACCAGCCAAGUCGCGUGAAGGAUGACUGUCUUAUGGAUUGUAAACUUCUUUUAUACGGGAAUAACAAGAGCCACGUGUGGCUCCCUGCAUGUACCGUAUGAAUAAGCAUCGGCUAACUCCGUGCCAGCAGCCGCGGUAAUACGGAGGAUGCGAGCGUUAUCCGGAUUUAUUGGGUUUAAAGGGUGCGUAGGCCGUUUGAUAAGCGUGCUGUGAAAUAUAGUGGCUCAACCUCUAUCGUGCAGCGCGAACUGUUGAACUUGAGUGCGUAGUAGGUAGGCGGAAUUCGUGGUGUAGCGGUGAAAUGCUUAGAUAUCACGAAGAACUCCGAUUGCGAAAGGCAGCUUACCGUAACGUUACUGACGCUUAAGCACGAAUGUGCGGGUAUCGAACAGGAUUAGAUACCCU
rnacentral:rRNA from 1 species